rnacentral:tRNA from 1 species
UGGGCUGUAGCUCAGUGGUAGAGCACUCGCCUUGCAUGUGUGAGGCACUGGGUUCCAUCCUCAGCACCACAU